UGGGCUUAAGGCGUGCGCUAGGCGGUUUUCUAAGUCAGGUGUGAAAUCCUCCGAGCUCAACCUCCRGAACUGCCUUUGAUACUGGMUAUCUUGAGUGMGGUAGRGGUGAGUGGAAUUUCCGGUGUAGCGGUGAAAUGCGUAGAUAUCGGGAAGAACACCAGUGGCGAARGCGGCUCACUGGGCCUWGACUGACGCUGAGGYGCGAAAGCUWGGGUAGCGAACGGGAUUAGAUACCCCGGUAAUCCUCGCCGUAAACUAUGRACACUGGACGACGGGGGUUUCGGUCWUYGUUGUCGCAGCUAACGCGUUAAGCGUUCCGCCUGGGGAGUAYGGUCGCAAGRUUGAAACUCAAAGGAAUUGGCGGGGGAGCACAA
rnacentral:rRNA from 1 species